ensembl:lncRNA
GAGAGGGUGGGAGGACUGAGUGUUGAGAGGGGCGGAGACUGAGAGCGAGAUCCUACAUGCGGUACUCCUUGGGUACAAGCCAUAAAUUCAUCCAGAAUCCUAUCUGAACAGCAUAUUAAUUCAUAAAGGGAAGAGCUUACGUAACCAAACCUGGUUAUAGGUUUGGAUUGAAUAGCAAGUCUAGAGUUAUUUGAGUGCGUCUGCAUUCAUUCACACAGACAUUCAUACAUUGAAGGCCAGCUGAUACACAGGUCUUAUAUGGCAGACAUCUUCACGAUAGCUCCAGCCCAGUUUCCAUAGUAACAGGCUCUCUCCUGGCAAGGCUGAUACCAGGGCUGCGUAGCUCUGCUAAUUUGGGUGGGUAGUCUGAUUGUAUCAAAAUGCAUGCAUUCUCAUCCGUUUAUACAGUUUGAAAACUCUCAAACAUACUGUAGUUAGUACACAGGUAUGUACAUAGAUAAAUAUCCCUCAUGAAGCCACAGCUCCCCUGCAUUGUUCUGUAAUUCAGAUACAGGCAUAAUGCAAUCCUAGUUUUGAAUAUAUCCAUGAUAAUCAUAUCUGAAUAAUAGACAUCACAGUGCAUACUGUAGAUAUCGUAUAAAAUCAUAGACAGAUCCACAACACUGUCCACUUACACGUCCAUGUGCUUGUCCUUUGCUCUCUUUUGCUCUGAGAAAAGGCGAGAAUUCUGCAUCCCCAGAGUCACAUGUAUCACUCCUGUCCCUGUCUGAGCUGGAUCCGAGCAAGUGGAGCUGAGGUGUGAAAGGAAUAGCAAUGACUGCGGAAGGGGCAGAACCUCUGAAAAAGUGUGUGUGUUGAUCAUUUCUAAAGGGAAUGCUGCUCAGCCAAGCAGAGAGCUAGUGAUUAGAGCUGUGGUUACUGCUUAGUGGAGGAAGUUGAGCUGCUUCCAGUGUGUGUGUGUGUGCAUAUGUUCGUAUUGGACGAGAUAGUUAUGAUCUAGAGGGUGUAUGUCGUUUUCAGCCCUACAGACUGCACCUGUUAUCAUCAACAGUGAUUAGUGUUACAGUAAUAUCUGGGGAACACCAUUUGCCUAUAUACUGAGCACUGCUUUUUCACUGGCUACAGUUUUUCUCUCUGCCUGUAGAGCUCUUCAAGGCAAUCUCUACCUUCACAUAACACUCUAGUUCAUAGUCUAUUUAAUGACAGUAGUUCACGGACUAUUUAAUGUUUAGGCCUGAACAGUCACAGUGGUGUGCAUGCGUGUGUAUGUAUAUGUUAGUGAGAGAGAGAGAGAGAGAGAGAGAGAGAGAGAGAGAGAGAGAGAGAGAGAGAGAGAGAGAGGAGAUAUAUAACUAGACUUCAACUUUGUUUGACAAUGUUAACAUGAAUGACUUUAGCUGUAGGGUGGACAUACAGUACAAUGUCACAGGUUUAUUUUCAUUGUGUUCAUAAUGCAUUUCAAAUCCUCCUUCAAAUCCUUCCUUUGACUGCCCCGGUGGUCGAAUUAGCUGUCAUCUGUAGAGCGCUGGUUUCUCGUGCUCGGUUCUGGUUUUGAGCAUUGAGAUAUGUGUUCCUGUCCCCUAUGUUUUACAUUACCAUACAUCAAUUUAUGCUUUCACUGUAAGAAUAUAUUGUGAGGGUCAGGGACCGCUUUUUCAUGGAAACUCUCUCUUUAAAGAAUGAUGACAAUCAAAUCCUCAUGAAUAGACAUUAAAUAAAUUGUAGCAUUGUGAAGAGAAGAUCCAAAGGAGAGUCAUAGGAUGGACAGAAUGACUGGAUCCUGUCAUGGACAGACAUUCAGACACAUACAGGUCAAGCAUCUACUUAUAGCCUUUAUAUAUUUCUGUUUUGUUAGGAGGGAUGACUGGAAAAUAUUCUGACAAGGUCAAAUUUCUUUACUAGUAUACUGUGACCGCUGACUGGUAUGUUUUAAAAAACGAUUUUCUACAUCAGUCCUCUCUUCCAUCUCCAAGUCACCCAACAUCCAAAUGUCCUGUAGUACAGUGUUUCCCAACCCUGGCACUCCUUUAGCUUCUACUGUGUUCCUGUACAAGAAGAUUUCUGGUGUCAACGGAUUUGUAAAUGUUAUGGUAAAAUGAGAAAGCAUCAUCAAGUGGCUUCUUUUAUUUCUCUCUUUUUUUUUUAGAAGCUAUGAAAAAUGUACAAUUAGGAAUUAGCCAAAUGCAAUUGAAAUGUGUUAGAUUUCAGGGUUGGGGUCCAUUUGAAAUGCUUUGGUAAAUUAGAAUUAAAUUAAAUAAUUUAAUUUGAAAUUUGCAGAGAAUAUGAUGGAAUAAGAUGGAAUUGAUUCCAACCUUGCCGAAUCCACCAGUCAUUGUAACAUACACAAAUUCCAGGGAAAUUGUGUAUGUUACACCUCUUCUUCUACUGUUUGUAGGUCUCUAGGUUACUGUUUGUAGGUCUCUAGGCUACUGUUUGUAGGUCUCUAGGCUACUGUUUGUAGGUCUCUAGGCUACUGUUUGUAGGUCUCUAGGCUACUGUUUGUAGGUCUCUAGGCUACUGUUUGUAGGUCUCUAGGCUACUGUUUGUAGGUCUCUAGGCUACUGUUUGUAGGUCUCUAGGUUACUGUUUGUAGGUCUCUAGGCUACUGUUUGUAGGUCUCUAGGUUACUGUUUGUAGGUCUCUAGGCUACUGUUUGUAGGUCUCUAGGCUACUGUUAGUUUUGUAAUGUUUCUACCUGUUGUCUUUCCUAUGCUGUAAGUUGUUUCUGUAUAAAUGUUCUGUUGUUCUAUCAAUGCAUGUUGUAACUUUGUAGCCGUGACUGGCUGUGAAACACACACACAACUCCGGUUUACCUGUCCUGUAAAAAGUGUCUCAAUGUCCCAAGAUCUUUCUUUACAUUCCGCUUAGAUGACUUACAGUUAAAUAAAAUCAAAUUCAUUAAUGGUUUUGUAUUCCAGACAUGUAUUCCAGGCAUUAUUGAAGGCUUUCAGUGAUACAAAGAAAAAUUGAACUGACAGUUACAUACUCUUAGGAAAGAAGCAGAUCUACAAUAGCAUGUUUCAGAAGGAAGAUUCUGUCCAACCAGAGAACAAAAUUACCCAAAACACCCAUAUAAACAAGACUUAUAUGUUGGCAGAGGUUUCAUACCAAUUUUUAAUGGGAGAUACUGGUACAGUCUGGUCCAUAUGCAUGUACACACUGUCUGAGCGGCAUUCUGAUUAUGCCUGAUCCCUG